CGAACGCUAGCGGCGGGCUUAACACAUGCAAGUCGAGCGAAGAACUUCGGUUCUUAGCGGCGAACGGGUGAGUAACACGUAGGUUACGUACCCUCUGGUGGGGAAUAACCCAGGGAAACUUGGGCUAAUACCGCAUGCAUGCCCUUCGGGGUGAAAGCCUUCGGGCGCCAGAGGAUCGGCCUGCGGCCCAUUAUUUAAUCCUGGUUGGUGAGGUAACGGCUCACCAAGGGUACGAUGGGUAGCUGGUCUGAGAGGACGAUCAGUCACACUGGGACUGAGACACGGCCCAGACUCCUACGGGAGGCAGCAGUGGGGAAUAUUGCGCAAUGGGGGAAACCCUGACGCAGCCACGCCGCGUGGGUGAUGAAGGCCUUCGGGUUGUAAAGCCCUGUCGGGAGGGACGAAAGCUCUUUGAGCUUGACGGUACCUCGCAAGAAAGCGCCGGCUAACUCC
rnacentral:rRNA from 1 species